CGAAGGGUGCAAGCGUUAAUCGGAAUUACUGGGCGUAAAGCGUGCGUAGGCGGUUUCUUAAGUCCGUUGUGAAAGCCCUGGGCUCAACCUGGGAAUGGCAGUGGAUACUGGGAAGCUAGAGUCAGGUAGAGGGUGGUGGAAUUCCCGGUGUAGCGGUGAAAUGCGUAGAGAUCGGGAGGAACAUCUGUGGCGAAGGCGGCCACCUGGACCAUGACUGACGCUGAGGCACGAAAGCGUGGGGAGCAAACAGGAUUAGAUACCCUGGUAGUCCACGCCCUAAACGAUGCGAACUGGAUGUUGGGCUCAACUCGGAGCUCAGUGUCGAAGCUAACGCGUUAAGUUCGCCGCCUGGGGAGUACGGUCGCAAGACUG
rnacentral:rRNA from 1 species